AAUGCCAGUCUCCGAGAAUAAUAUCCGGGCUUAUACAACAUUGUUCGCGAUAAGAAUAAUACUAUUGCGCAAGUGCUCAGUUCAUUCCCACCGAAUAUUUCGUUCAGGCGGGAUUUGAUUGGCCCCCGACUUGUGUCAUGGCAUAAUCUUUUAUCCUGACUGGAUUCGAUUAACCUGACACAAGGCCGGGAUGUGUUUCGCUGGAACCUUACUACAUCAGGGUCUUUCACUGUAGACUCUAUGUAUCGUGCGCUCACACAUUCUGAGGUACCAGUGAGUAAUAACAAGAAAAUUUGGAAGUCCAAGAUUCCACUAAAAGUGAAAAUUUUCAUGUAG
rnacentral:rRNA from 1 species